UGAAAGGGUCACGUGGUGACGAAGGACACUAGGACCACCUGGUAGAAAAGGAUUGCCUGGACCACCAGGAGAGAUAGGAGAUAAAGGUUCACCUGGACCAAUAGGUGACAAAGGUGAUAUUGGUCCACCAGGAGAAAAGGGGAACAAUGGAACUAGAGGAGAUAAAGGAAGUAAAGGAAUGGAAGGUGACCGUGGACCAAAGGGAGAGAGGGGUGGGAAAGGAGAUCCAGGUAUUGAUGGUAUUAAUGGCACCAGAGGACCUCCUGGCAUCGAUGGAAUGGAUGGUCAAGAUGGAGAGAAAGGUAAUCAAGGUUUGCAAGGUAGACGUGGUAAACCAGGCCUCCCUGGUGAUGUGGGAAGAACUGGACCUCCAGGUGUUAAUGGAACAAGUGGUCCUAGAGGAUUACCUGGGAAAAUGG